AUUGUCUUGUUUAGCAGAUGGAGAGCAAGUUUUAAACCAAAUUGUAUUAAUUUCCUCUUGGAAGAUCUUCUCGGCAAAGUAUUUUUAAAUCAAUCCGUUUUAUGACUGAGAGACAACACAUGCCAAAUGUAAUGCCUAGUGCAGACACAAGGCUCUAAUCUCGUUCUAAAACACCUCCAGGGAUUAACCAAUCUAAGCCGGGUGCAUCAGGGUUAGAAGACGUUGCAAAGCUGGCUUCAAUAACCACUGGAUUUGCUCAAUAGCCUCAUCUUUUUAAUAAUAAUGGCAUCAUGCUGGACACUGAGAAAAUAAAGACAAAGAUGAAGUCAUUUCCUAUCUCAAGGAGCUUCCAUUCUGCUGGAGGGUAGAUGGGCUAUCCAUAAAGAAGUUGGAGAGAGAAAAGGAUACUUUUCAACAUCCACCAUUGCUCUUGGUUUCAUGACUUCUUCCUCAAUGAGACAUUGCGUUAAGGUCCCAACUUCUAGGGCCCAUUACAGGACCCAACUAUAGUGUAAAGAAUACUGGAUUUUAAGAUGUGGGUUCUAGUCUCAGAAAAUAAAGAUGUUGGAGCUCAUCUAUCAAGAUCCUAUUUGCUAACACCAGAUAACUCAACUUUCCAUGCAGUGAAGUCAUUUUCAGUGGCAAAGAUGGAGGGGGGGUGAGAGUUGGGGUAAGGGGGAGGAAGAUGUUUUUUAAAAUCACCUUGUGUUAUCAGAUGCAUAUCUGAAAUUUAACAGAUCCACCUUUUUUUCUCAUUUGGGUUUUGAGUCAUUCUUAAUAUCCGCCC
rnacentral:lncRNA from 1 species